AUACGGAGGGUGCAAGUUUCGUUAAUCGGAAUCACUGGGCGUAAAGCGCGCGUAGGCCGCCUUUUAAGUCGGACGUGAAAGCCCUCGGCUCAACCGAGGAACUGCGUUCGAAACUGGGAGGCUUGAGUCCUGGAGAGGGUGGCGGAAUUCCGGGUGUAGGAGUGAAAUCCGUAGAUAUCCGGAGGAACACCGGUGGCGAAGGCGGCCACCUGGACAGGUACUGACGCUGAGGCGCGAAAGCGUGGGGAGC
rnacentral:rRNA from 1 species